AUACGUAGGUGACAAGCGUUAUCCGGAUUUACUGGGCGUAAAGGGCGUGUAGGCGGUCUUGCAAGUCAGAAGUGAAAUUCCUGAGCUCAACUCGGGCGCUGCUUCUGAAACUGCAGGACUUGAGUGCUGGAGGGGAUAGCGGAAUUCCUAGUGGAGCGGUAAAAUGCGCAGAUAUUAGGAAGAACACCGGUGGCGAAGGCGGCUAUCUGGACAGUAACUGACGCUGAGGCGCGAAAGCGUGGGGAGCAAACAGGAUUAGAUACCCUGGUAGUCCACGCGGUAAACGAUGAAUACUAGGUGUAGGGGGUAUCGACUCCCUCUGUGCCGCAGUUAACACAAUAAGUAUUCCGCCUGGGGAGUACGGCCGCAAGGUUGAAACUCAAAUGAAUUGGCGGGG
rnacentral:rRNA from 1 species